UGCCCUGUAGUGUAACCGGCAACACGUCUGAUUCUGGAUCAGAAGAGUUCAGGUUCGAGUCCUGACGGGGCAG
rnacentral:tRNA from 3 species